AACCUAGCACACCUGCGGUGUGUACCUGCGGAGGGAUCAUUACCGAGUGUGGUCCCAUAUAAGGGGCGCCUCCCGUCCUUUGCAGGGCCUUUAGGGGCUUUUUGACCUUGCUUCGGCGGGCUUGCCCCGCCGGAACACCCUCAAGAAAAUCUUUAUGAACCGUUUGUCUGAGUUGCUUGCGAAUAAAAACAAAACUUUUAGCAAUGGAUCU
rnacentral:misc_RNA from 1 species